rnacentral:rRNA from 1 species
UCUUGCGCAAUGCACGAAAGUGUGACGCAGCAACGCCGCGUGGGGGAAGAAGGCUCUCGGGUCGUAAACCCCUUUCAGUUGGGACGAAGCUUCGUCGGUUAAUAGCCGGCUGGAGUGACGGUACCUUCACAAGAAGCACCGGCUAACUACGUGCCAGCAGCCGCGGUAAUACGUAGGGUGCAAGCGUUGUCCGGAAUCAUUGGGCGUAAAGAGCGUGUAGGCGGCCCGAUUAGUCCGCUGUGAAAGUCCAGGGCUCAACCCUGGAAUGCCGGUGGAUACUGUCGGGCUCGAGUCCGGAAGAGGCGAGUGGAAUUCCUGGUGUAGCGGUGAAAUGCGCAGAUAUCAGGAAGAACACCAACGGCGAAGGCAGCUCGCUGGGACGGUACUGACGCUGAGACGCGAAA